rnacentral:rRNA from 1 species
GUGGGGAAUCUUGCGCAAUGGGCGAAAGCCUGACGCAGCCAUGCCGCGUGAAUGAUGAAGGUCUUAGGAUUGUAAAAUUCUUUCACCGGGGACGAUAAUGACGGUACCCGGAGAAGAAGCUCCGGCUAACUUCGUGCCAGCAGCCGCGGUAAUACGAAGGGGGCUAGCGUUGCUCGCAAUUACUGGGCGUAAAGGGCGCGUAGGCGGACAGCUUAGUCAGAGGUGAAAGCCCAGGGCUCAACCUUGGAAUUGCCUUUGAUACUGGCUGUCUUGAGUUUGGGAGAGGUGAGUGGAACUCCGAGUGUAGAGGUGAAAUUCGUAGAUAUUCGGAAGAACACCAGUGGCGAAGGCGACUCACUGGCCCAAUACUGACGCUGAGGCGCGAAAGCGUGGGGAGCAAACAGGAUUAGAUACCCUGGUAGUCC